UACAGAGGUCUCAAGCGUUGUUCGGAUUCAUUGGGCGUAAAGGGUGCGUAGGCGGCGAGCUAAGUUUGGUGUGAAAUCCUGGGGCUUAACCUCAGAAUUGCACUGAAUACUGGUUUGCUAGAGGACUGGAGAGGAGAUUGGAAUUCACGGUGUAGCAGUGAAAUGCGUAGAUAUCGUGAGGAAGACCAGUGGCGAAAGCGAAUCUCUGGACAGUUCCUGACGCUGAUGCACGAAGGCUAGGGGAGCAAACGGG
rnacentral:rRNA from 1 species